rnacentral:rRNA from 1 species
GGGGAAUAUUGCACAAUGGGCGCAAGCCUGAUGCAGCCAUGCCGCGUGUAUGAUGAAGGCCUUCGGGUUGUAAAGUACUUUCAGCGGGGAGGAAGGUGUUGUGGUUAAUAACCACAGCAAUUGACGUUACCCGCAGACGAAGCACCGGCUAACUCCGUGCCAGCAGCCGCGGUAAUACGGAGGGUGCAAGCGUUAAUCGGAAUUACUGGGCGUAAAGCGCACGCAGGCGGUCUGUCAAGUCGGAUGUGAAAUCCCCGGGCUCAACCUGGGAACUGCAUUUGUGACUGCAUGUCUAGAGUACGGUAGAGGGGGAUGGAAUUCCGCGUGUAGCAGUGAAAUGCGUAGAUAUGCGGAGGAACACCGAUGGCGAAGGCAAUCCCCUGGACCUGUACUGACGCUCAUGCACGAAAGCGUGGGGAGCAAACA